UACGGGGGGGGCGAGCGUUGUUCGGAAUUACUGGGCGUAAAGCGUGCGCAGGCGGUUCGUUAAGUCAGAUGUGAAAGCCCCGGGCUCAACCUGGGAACUGCAUUUGAAACUGGCGGGCUUGAGUGUGGCAGAGGGGGGUGGAAUUCCGCGUGUAGCAGUGAAAUGCGUAGAGAUGCGGAGGAACACCGAUGGCGAAGGCAGCCCCCUGGGCCAACACUGACGCUCAGGCACGAAAGCGUGGGGAGCAAACAGG
rnacentral:rRNA from 1 species